GACGAACGCUGGCGGCGUGCUUAACACAUGCAAGUCGAGCGGUAAGGCCCUUUCGGGGGUACACGAGCGGCGAACGGGUGAGUAACACGUGGGUGACCUGCCCUCAGCUCUGGGAUAAGCCUGGGAAACCGGGUCUAAUACUGGAUAUGACUCCAUGACGCAUGUUGUGGGGUGGAAAGCCUUGUGCGGCUGAGGAUGGGCCCGCGGCCUAUCAGCUUGUUGGUGGGGUGANGGCCUACCAAGGCGACGACGGGUAGCCGGCCUGAGAGGGCGACCGGCCACACUGGGACUGAGACACGGCCCAGACUCCUACGGGAGGCAGCAGUGGGGAAUCUUGCGCAAUGGGCGAAAGCCUGACGCAGCGACGCCGCGUGAAGGAUGAAAUCCCUCGGGAUGUAAACUUCGCAAGAACGGGAAGAAUAAGUAGGGGACAAUACCCCCUACGAUGACGGUACCGUUUGUAAGCUCCGGCUAACUCCGUGCCAGCCGCCGCCGUAAC
rnacentral:rRNA from 1 species